rnacentral:misc_RNA from 1 species
AAGUCGUAACAAGGUUUCCGUAGGUGAACCUGCGGAAGGAUCAUUAUUGAGUUAUUAAAGGCUUGUAGUUAAUUACAUCUUGUGUUGGCUAUAAGUCUUUUAUUAUUCUCUUACCCCUUUUGUUAUUAUUUCUUAGUUGCUUUGGCAGUCAGUAAUGGCUGCCAAGGGAAAUUUCUUAAACUCUUUGUUACCAAGACAAUUGGAUAUGACAGUCAGAUUAUAAUUAUUUUUAAUAGUUAAAAAACUUUCAACAAUGGAUCUCUUGGUUCUG